GUAUUGAGUCCACCGACUCAAAUUCAGAUUCUCAAUUCUCUCUCUUUCAAUCCCUCGGUCCCUCUGGAGUCGCCCCUGUACUCCCGCCGUCCCUCGCCCGCCCGCCCCUCGCCCGCCCGACCCAGCGGCGCCCCUCGCCCGCCCGCCGUUCUCCUCGGCCGUCGCCAGUGGGAAGCUCGCUCCCAGUCCCACCGCGACCCUCGCCCAGUCGCUCCGCCUCCGAGCUCCGACGACAGGUGAGCGGCGCCCCUCGCCGCCCGUCAUCGCCCAGAGCCAAUCGCCAGUGAGCGGCGACCCAGCGGCGCCCCUCGCCGCCCGUCUUCUUCUUCUUCCUCUUCUUCUUCUUCUUCUUCUUCUUCUUCUUCUUCUUUUUUUUUAUUUUAAAUACAGAUCUGUAUGUCAGUAUGUGUUCUCGAAUUUGGUCUGAUUUGGUGUAUGAAUUUGGUCUGAUUUGGUGUAUGAAUUGGUCAUCGAAUUUGGUCAGCUUUUCUGUAUGAAUUUGGUCAUCGAAAUAUCCGAUUUGGACUUUUCUGUAUGAAUUUGGUCAUCGAAUUUACUGAAUUUCAAUUUGCUGCUGCUGCUGUAAAAACUAUCGGGUAUUUCGGGUACCCGAAUACCCGAAUCGGAUACCCGACUCGGGUAUUAGGGUACCCGAUUUCAGAAUCGGGUUCGGGAUCGGGUGGGGGUUUUGGUCAAUUUUCGGGUUCGGGUACCCGAUUUUUUCGGGUAGGGUACCCGAACCCGACCCGAUUCCCAGCCCUACCUACAACGCUUUCUCUUAGAUAAAUUAUGAAUUUCGAAAUCUGAAUUCGCGUGUAUGAGAGAGGCGAAUGUUUACAACAACGCAAGGAAGAAGAUGAAGAGAUUGCCCUAUUUUUUCAAUUUUUAUGGGCUUUCUAUUAGGCUUUAUUGCAACUAUUUUAUUUUGGGCUAUUUUUAUUUAUUUAAUUUCUUCAAUUUUUCAAAUUAUUUGAUCCAUUUUUGUUAUCUAAUUUUUAAUAUAUUUUUUAUUUUAAUUGUUGUAUUUUUAUGUUAAUUAAUUUAAUUUUUCAAUUAACUGUUGUAUUUUUAUUUUAAUUGUUGUAUUUUUCUUGCCAUGGAGCGAUUUGUCUUUUUAGUUGUCAUGCUUGGUUGUGUUUUGGUUUGUUGCUUCUUUGGCUUACUUUUCUAUCUUGUUGUGCCGUUGAAAGCUGGGAUUGUCUAAGGGCGAUUGUUUGGCCGGAGCUCUUGAGUGUAUCAUUUUCGCUUUCUCGGCAUUUAGUCUCUUGUUUUUUUUCUCUUCGUUAUUGACGAGCACUCUUUUUCCUCUUCUCGUUAUUUCCCUCGCGGGUUUUGCUUGAAUAGGUUUUAAAGAAACUCAGCCCUUAGUUUGCUUCUUCUGUAUUUUCAAUGGUUUAGGAUUUUUUCUCUUUUCUUUUAAUAAUAAACUCUAUUUAAUAUUACGUUCGUCCCACUUAAAUUGACACUUUUGAGUUGGGCACGGAGAUUAAAAAUAAAGGGUUAAGAGUGUAAAGUAGGUAGGGUCCACUUAUUUUAUGUGUGUAGAGAAUGUAUGGACCACAUACCAUUUUAGAGCAUUCACAAUGGUUACACGAUAGCCAUUACACGAUAGGGCUAUCGUGUAAAUGUGCUAUCGUGUAACCGUUGCGGGAGAGAUUUACACGAGGGCUACACGUUCUAUCGUGUAGCCCUUUAAACCGUUUGAAUUUUUNUUUUCAAUUUUUCUUCUCUUUAUAACUAAUUCUAUCAUGUAAGCUAUCAUGUAACCCCACUGCAGCAUCUUUACACCAUGUGGUCCCCCAUCAUAAAGUAGGCUAUCAUGUAACCCCAUUGCGGAUGCUCUUAGAAAAGUGUCAAUUCUAGUGGAACAAACAAAAAAGACAAGUGUGUCAAUUCUAGUGGGACGGAUGGAGUAUCACAUAAGAGAUAGUGUGAAUUUUAAGAAAAAAAAGUAAAUAAAGUGUUGAAUGGAAAUGAGUGGUUGUAGUUGAAUUGAUUGUGGAGUUAUGUAGAAAUGAGUGGUUGUGGUUAAAAGGAGAAAGUGUGGUCAAAUUCCAAAAUAGAAGUGAUACACUCUUAUGGCUCGGACGAAAAUGAAAAAUGUGAUACAGUCUUAUGGAACAGAGGGAAUAGUAUAUUAUACUUUACUUGAGCACCGGUACUUUAUGUGAGUAUCACUCACAUUUAACUUUUAUUAACUUUAUAUUUUUUAUUUUAUACAUUUGUUAUAUUCUAAACUAUAAAUUAUUAUUAAAAUUAUUUAUUUUAAAAAUUACAUAAAAGUUAAAAUUCGAUUUGUUCAUAAAUAUUUCCUUUCACUUUAAAUAUUUAAUAAAACGAGCAAAUGGAGCUUUAAUUUUUACAUGUAAAAAUGCAUCUAAGCAUAAAGUAAUUUUACUUUGUCAGAAAUCCGACGUCGACAUUAAAAUUUAGUUACAUUUGAGAGAGAAAAAUAAAAAAUUGAAAUAACGAAAUUUCUUUAACAUAAUAUUUAAAACAUAAAGCAUCAAAAUUUAGGGUAAGUUGAAUUGGUGGAAUUAAAAAGCGUAGGAAGUAAUACAAGAAUGUGAUGAAAAAUGCAUGUGUAUGAGAUUGAAAGUGGAAAGGGCAAAUAGGUAAAAUGAGAGCAACGACAAGUAAUGCUUUUUGGGUAGAAGAUUGGGCGGCGAGAAAAAGAUGAGGUUGGAAAAAGGCUCGUUUUGUCGUGUAGUGGGACUUGGUCGUAGCUCAGCAAGUGGUCCACAUCUCACCGAAAGCGACGCGUCACUGCUCAACUGCACACCGACGUGUCCUUCCGAUAAUAAUGCUCGUGAAUCCCCCACCUAUACGACAUCGUUUCCACUUCAGAUAUCGUCAACGCAUUGCAUCAUCAUGAAAUCUGCAUUUCGUCAUCCUCUUAUAACAAAAUUUUACUACUCACUCUUAACUUUUCACUCCGGGAACGACACGAGUUUUAACAAAAUAGUGAAUAAUAGUUAAUAAUAAUGAUAUUAAUAUAUUAUUGUGAGUGACGUUUGGGUCUCACUAUUGUUGUGAGUGAAAAUUUGUGGAUCCUACUGCUAUAAAUGUGAAUGGAAACAAUAUCUUCGAUGGAUCAAAAUGACAAAAGUGGAAACGAUAUCAUGGACGAAUGAAGUAUAUCAUUUCCUCCCCUAAAAGAGUAACAUUUGAGGGAUGAUAUGAAUUUAAGAAAUAUUUGGUAGAUAAUAUGUUGAGUGGAAAAAUAAUUUACUAUUAUUUAAAAAAAUGUGAUAAUAUGUGUUAGAUAAUGUAUGAGAUCAUAUUCCAAAAUAGAAAUGAUACUUUUUUAUUAGACAAACGAAAAUGAAAAAAAUGAUAUUUUCUCAUGGGACAAAGGGAAUACUUUUAUUUCCUUCAUUUUUACAUCAUUUUUGGUGGUACGAGAUUUAAUAAAUAUUACUUUAUUUGUCCCUCAAACAUCUUCCUAAGGGGGACGACACAAGUUUUAAUAAAAGUUUAUAUUUAAUGAGUGAAAAAAAGAUCCCACAAAUUAAAAAAAGUAAUGAAACUCUUUCACAUGCACAUAGAGCAUAUGUUAGGACCAAUGAAACCAUGACGUUUAAUAGAAUCAAAUGUAGGGAGACGCCUAAGGAUGAUCCGCCAACUAAUAAUAGAACAUCGAACUAGAAUAAAUAGGGCCUAGAUCUAUUUUCCCCAGUUAACCGACGAUUAUACAAGAGCCAAAUAAUCUCUAACAGAAGCUGAAGUGACUUCACCAAAAUUAGCGUGAAUUCAUGAGUGCUUGUAUGUCGUACCAAUAGCAGGGGUAGAGAUGAAAUCAAAAGCAACGUCCAAUAUUUCAAAAAUGAAGGGCUCUGUAAAGUGUCAUGCCUCCCCAUAAAAGCAGUACGAGACCUUUUGAUGAGAGAUGAAUGCAUAUAAGAGGGAAUAUGCAACCGAUUGCCAGCGAUAUCCAAGCCAGUUAUUAUCCAAUAAAAGAGAAUAAUACUACUAUCACCAAUAGAGCAAAAAGAGUCUGAAAAAAAAUAUUAGUAACAACAGACCUGACACCCAGCUAAACCGAGGAAGAGAAGCAGCGAGAAGCCGCAUCGAAGUAAUCCAUUAGGUAACGGUAGGGAAAGAGAAUAAAACCAAAUGAAUUGGAAGUGAUAAUGUUCCAACUUAAAUGGAGCAUAAGCUCUUUAUUGAUGAAAAAAACCCCCCCGAAGAACCAGGCCACCCUUAAACUUAGGGGCACAAACAUGAUUUCAAGCAAUAGAAGAAUGCGAGCGAAGAGGUGCAACCCGUCCAAAUAAAAUUGUGACAAACCCUAUCCAACAUGUGAAGAAGCUUCGCAGGCCAUUUGUAAAUAAACAUACUAUGAGUGACCACAAUAUGAAUAACCGAGGAAAAGAGAUAGAUACAAAAGUUGUUGACCUUGCCAAUGAAAAAAGUUAACAAUAAUCUUAUCUUUGAAAUGCAUAAGCCUGGCAGAGCUAGCUUUACUCGCAAAAAUAGGCACGCCAAUGUAAAUAAAGAGAGUAUAAUAGCAUAGAUAUCUAAAAUAGAAUCCAACAUCAAGCAAUUAUUUUUAGUCGCCCGACAUAAUAUCAGCACAUCAUCCACCUACAAUAGGUGCAAAGGAAAAUUAUAAGAUCUGGACAUACGCAUCGAAGUGAUAAAAUGCGCCUCCAUAGCAAAUACAAUAAUAUACUAAUGACAACUUCUACAAUUCCAAAGAAAAUGUGAUACAGAGGGUCCCUCUGUUGAACUCCCCGACUGCAAGAGAAAUAACCAUGAAGCGAGCCAUUAAACAUAAUAGAAAUAUGAGAGCCAAAAUGAUUUGGAUCCAAGUACAGAAAUGAGGUGGGAAACCAACGGCAUAAAGCACAACAUUCACAAACAACAAUCGAAAGGUAUCAAAGGCUUUUUAAAUAUGGACCUUAAUCGCCAUAUUCCUGCCCUCAAGUGAACAUUCCAUGCAAUUUACACUUUACUGCCAGGAAUAGAAUUAAAUUGGUUAAGGGUAACAAUAACUGCAGCAAUGGAAUUAAGACGAGACACCAAAAUUUUAGUGAUGACUUUGAAUAAAAUUCCCAAAACAAUAGGGCGAAAAUAAAAAAUUAGGUUGCGCUAGGCUUCUUGGGUAUUAGACUAAGGAUAUUAGCAUUCAACCCUUGAGAAAAAUAAGUGUGCGAAAAAAAGCAUUGGACCGCCACCACAAUAUCAGUAGUGAUAAUAUUCUAGGUUGCAUGGAAAAAAUGAUCCAUUAUAACCAUUGGACCAGGAGCACUGUUACGAUCCAUAGAGAAAAUCGUGGCUUGGAUUUUCUCUAUAUCCAAAAACUUGAGCAACAUAGCAGAAUGAGGCUCCGUAACAAAGGCAUGAUAUUAUUAUCAAUCCAAGAAUCAUCCACACCCGCCGAGGGCUAUUUAGAGAAAAGAGAUUGAUAAAAAUCCAAAACGUGGUUGGCUAUAGUUGUAUUAUCAGAAACUAAAACCUCAUCAAUAAGCAAAUGGUUGAUAUAUUGCCGAGAACGGCGAAGUUUAACCAUAUUAUGGAAAAAACUAGUAUUUUUAUCACAAUCUUGAAGCCAUUUGAUAUGAUUUUGUUGUUUCAAAAUCGAGGAUUGACGUGUAAGCAUAACACUCAUCUUAGCCUGAAUCUUAAUCUCUUGAUCCAAAGAUCAUUAGUAUACCCGACACUAUCAUUAUGCCAUUGAAGAUCGCCCAGUUUAUCUUGCAAAUCAGUAAUGGUUUUGUUGAAGUUUCCAAAGACGUCUUUGUUUUUGUACAUAACACGGACAACAGGACAUAGAGUGGCGCAUGGCAUAUGCUAGGAGUCACCAAACUAAUUAAAGAAAUCCCUCAUGAGUGAGUUGUAUAUUCAGAAAACGAAAGGACUUGUUAGGCGCCGAGGAAGAAUGAUGACACUGUAGAAG
rnacentral:lncRNA from 1 species